GGCUCCAAGGGUAAAGAAUCUGCCUGCAAAGCAGGGGACCCAGGUUCGAUCCCUGGGUCA
rnacentral:tRNA from 1 species